CUUUUCGACUUGAUAUUGUAUCCCUUGAUGCAAAUAAAUAGCCUCUUCAUGCAAUAACGUCAUCGCUGAGAAACGGUCCAUUUCACCGAUCACUUUCACAUUUGCCGCA
rnacentral:antisense_RNA from 1 species